rfam:Lupinus angustifolius cultivar Tanjil chromosome LG03, whole genome shotgun sequence.
GGGUCGAUGCCCAAGUAGUUAAUAAGGAUGAACUGUAAAUUUGCUGGCAAUAUGUCUACGCUGGUUCAAAUCCAGCUCAGCCCA